rnacentral:rRNA from 1 species
AUUGAACGCUGGCGGCAGGCUUAACACAUGCAAGUCGAGCGGGGGAAGGUAGCUUGCUACCGGACCUAGCGGCGGACGGGUGAGUAAUGCUUAGGAAUCUGCCUAUUAGUGGGGGACAACAUCUCGAAAGGGAUGCUAAUACCGCAUACGUCCUACGGGAGAAAGCAGGGGAUCUUCGGACCUUGCGCUAAUAGAUGAGCCUAAGUCGGAUUAGCUAGUUGGUGGGGUAAAGGCCUACCAAGGCGACGAUCUGUAGCGGGUCUGAGAGGAUGGUCCGACACACUGGGACUGAGGCACGGCCCAGACUCCUACGGGAGGCAGAAGUGGGGAAUAUUGGACAAUGGGGGGAACCCUGAUCCAGCCAUGCCGCGUGUGUGAAGAAGGCCUUAUGGUUGUAAAGCACUUUAAGCGAGGAGGAGGCUACUCUAGUUAAUACCUAGGGAUAGUGGACGUUACUCGCAGAAUAAGCACCGGCUAACUCUGUGCCAGCCGCCGCCGUAA